CAGCAGCCGCGGGAAUACGUAGGUGGCAAGCGUUGUCCGGAAUUACUGGGCGUAAAGCGUGCGCAGGCGGUUCGUUAAGACAGAUGUGAAAUCCCCGGGCUUAACCUGGGAACUGCAUUUGUGACUGGCGGGCUAGAGUAUGGCAGAGGGGGGUAGAAUUCCACGUGUAGCAGUGAAAUGCGUAGAGAUGUGGAGGAAUACCGAUGGCGAAGGCAGCCCCCUGGGCCAAUACUGACGCUCAUGCACGAAAGCGUGGGGAGCAAACAGGAUUAGAUACCCCCGUAGUCCCUGUCUCUUAUAC
rnacentral:rRNA from 1 species